rnacentral:tRNA from 2 species
GGGGGUGUAGCUCAGUUGGGAGAGCGCCUGCCUUGCAAGCAGGAGGUCAGCGGUUCGAAUCCGCUCAUCUCCACCA